rnacentral:rRNA from 1 species
UACGUAGGUGUCAAGCGUUGUCCGGAUUUAUUGGGUUUAAAGGGCGCGUAGGCGGCCCUGUAAGUCAGUUCUGAAAUAUCCCAGCUUAACUGGGAGGGUGGCAUUGAUACUGCGGGGCUAGAGUACAGAUGAGGUAGGCGGAAUUGACGGUGUAGCGGUGAAAUGCUUAGAUAUCGUCAAGAACACCGAUAGCGAAGGCAGCUUACUAGGCUGUAACUGACGCUGAGGCACGAAAGCGUGGGGAGCAAACAGG